rnacentral:rRNA from 1 species
UACGAAGGGGGCUAGCGUUGCUCGGAAUCACUGGGCGUAAAGCGCACGUAGGCGGAUUGCUAAGUCAGGGGUGAAAUCCUGGAGCUCAACUCCAGAACUGCCCUUGAUACUGGCGGUCUCGAGUCCGGGAGAGGUGAGUGGAACUGCGAGUGUAGAGGUGAAAUUCGUAGUUAUUCGCAAGAACACCAGUGGCGAAGGCGGCUCACUGGCCCGGUACUGACGCUGAGGUGCGAAAGCGUGGGGAGCAAACAGG